UUUAAAAUGAUAUACUGAACAAUUUUGCAUAAGUUCACUUAUGCUAAGGUUUGCAGCAUUUAUUUUAUAACCAUAAUUUAAAUGUUUAUAAUUACAGUGAUGUUACUCUUACACAGGAAGAGUAAACAGAACUGUCAUUGCUGCUUGAACAAGUCAACUUACAAGUACACUAUAGUCUGAUUAAAAUAAGUAUGUACAAGUGAUCAAUGCGUUCGUAUUACCAGUCAGGGAUAGAGGUAAAAUUAUGUAAGUUUGAGCCUUAGGAGAAAGCCCGGAGCACGCACCACCUUGUCAGCGAAUGUCUCAGUGUGGGGGCGGCGAGUUGUGCGCGCGUACGCUUCACGGAGCAAUCUGGCGUCGCAAGGGUUCUCGUAGCGCAUGCGCCGACGUGGUUCGAUACCACCUAAUUCUUCCUUUAUAACAUAAAUAGUAAUUUCGAGGCUAUUGACGAAGGAGGCGCGGAACUCCGGAUAGAAGUCGAGCACGUCCAGCAAGUCGUCUCUGUGCACUCGGUGCAGAUCGCAAUAGGUGAGCGCGCGCACGCGACAGUUGCUGCGGCCCACUGUGCUGUGUAUGCACGGAUUCUCCCCGAAUAUAUCAUCCUUGC